ACAGUGCUCAGCUUCUCAUUCUCGCCGUCACCAUGCUGCUGAUCCUGCUCUGCUUCCACACCUUCACCUGGGUCGCGUCUCAGGCGCCGCCACCUCCACAGAACGUCCAGGUGGAGAAGGGUCAGCUGACGUGGACUCCAGGGGAGCCGGACGUUACCUACACUGUGAAUUACCGCAGGUUUAACUCUGAUAAAUGGGAAGCUCUUCCAGCCUGCAUCCAGACGCCUUUCCAUUCCUGCAACAUAUCAGCGGUUGGGCCGCGCGACACUAACGACUCGCCCGAGAACAGCUGCGUGACGCUGCGUGUGCGGGCCGAGAGACGGGGGCUGAGAUCUGAGGGUGUUAACGCCUGCAGCAGAUACGGUGACGUCUGCACGCCUCCGUUAAGCAUUUUGACCCGGCCUGGAUCACUCACCGUAUUCCUUAACGAUGACCCGAGCUGGCGAAGGAACACGACAGCAAUGCCAAGCACAUGAUUUACUUUGGCAGAGAGGGAGAGAGUCCUCUGCAGGAGUAUGAAGACACCAUAGCCUCCAUGACCAUUGAAGACCUGGAGGAGGGGCAGCGGUACUGUGUUCAGGUGGCCUAUACGGUCCACGGGGACCUCGUGGAACCACGCAGCUGCAUCCAGUGUGAGGUCAUCCCUGCAUCAGAACACGUGAACAGGACGCCGAUGAUCGUGGGGCUGCUCGUCGGCAUCGUGGUCCUCGCCAUUCUUGCAUUGGGAUACCUCGGGUUUUUCCAAACUGAGAAAAUCAAACGCUGCCUACACUAACCAUGGUAUGCCUCACCGAUGCAGUGAGAGUCGUGUUUCCCAGGCUGCUAAUGGUGACAUCCAGAAGCCUUCAGCAGGCAGCAGGUAGAGGACAUUCAAGAAGCUGUGCUGCUGUCCAAGACGACGUCUUACUUCUUAAACCUAAACACACAAACUUCUCAAAACAGAGUCUGAUGGAGGACUUUAUUAUGGCAGAGCUUGUGUGUUUCCUACAAACUGGACUAUCAGAUGAAUGAGUUUUCGGAUUAUUUUCGUGGGCUGCUGGGAUGUAUGCGUGUGGACCGUGAUGAGGGGAAAACAAGAUUUCUGAAGUGACGUAAUAGGAUAGGUUAAAAAAGCUGAUACUGGAGUCUGCUCAACUGCAGGAGGAGGACGUCUCCUGAGAAGCAGUUUAGAGGAUUCUGACUCUUACAGUAACUUGUACUGUGUACUAGCUAGCAUGACGGAGUUUCUAUACAGUUGGGUGGGUGCUAUGAUGUUACUGGUGAACUUUAUUUUAUUCAUAUGGUUACUUAGUAGAGUUGCCAACCGUCCCCUAAAAAACGGAAUCCUCUGGUAUUCAGAAUUAAUAUUACCGUUUCGUAUUGAGCUGAAAAUAAACGUGAUUUGUCUUCAGCUACAAUAAAAAAAAAAGACAAAAAGCUGGAG